rnacentral:rRNA from 1 species
CCUACGGGUGGCAGCAGUGAGGAAUAUUGGUCAAUGGACGAGAGUCUGAACCAGCCAAGUAGCGUGAAGGAUGACUGCCCUAUGGGUUGUAAACUUCUUUUAUAUGGGAAUAAAAUGUUCCACGUGUGGGAUUUUGUAUGUACCAUAUGAAUAAGGAUCGGCUAACUCCGUGCCAGCAGCCGCGGUAAUACGGAGGAUCCGAGCGUUAUCCGGAUUUAUUGGGUUUAAAGGGAGCGUAGGUGGAUGGUUAAGUCAGUUGUGAAAGUUUGCGGCACAACCGUAAAAUAGCAGUUGAAACUGGCAGUCUUGAGUACAGUAGAGGUGGGCGGAAUUCGUGGUGUAGCGGUGAAAUGCUUAGAUAUCACGAAGAACUCCGAUUGCGAAGGCAGUUCACUGGACUGCAACUGACACUGAGGCUCGAAAGUGUGGGUAUCAAACAGGAUUAGAUACCCUUGUAGUC